rnacentral:rRNA from 1 species
AUUGAACGCUGGCGGCAGGCCUAACACAUGCAAGUCGAGCGGAUGAAGGGAGCUUGCUCCUGGAUUCAGCGGCGGACGGGUGAGUAAUGCCUAGGAAUCUGCCUGGUAGUGGGGGAUAACGUCCGGAAACGGGCGCUAAUACCGCAUACGUCCUGAGGGAGAAAGUGGGGGAUCUUCGGACCUCACGCUAUCAGAUGAGCCUAGGUCGGAUUAGCUAGUUGGUGGGGUAAAGGCCUACCAAGGCGACGAUCCGUAACUGGUCUGAGAGGAUGAUCAGUCAAACGGGAACUGAGAACCGGCCCCAGACCCCAGGGGAGGCAGCGGGGGGAAAUUUUGGAAAAGGGGGGAAAGCCUGAUCCAGCCAUGCCGCGUGUGUGAAGAAGGUCUUCGGAUUGUAGAGCACUUUAAGUUGGGGGGAAGGGAAGUAAGUUAAACCCUUGCUUUUUUGACUUUACCAACAAAAAAAGCCCCGGCUAACUUCGU